GAAUACACUGGACGCUCUUUUUAGAGGUCCGACCAAAUCAUUACCUUCACACUGUGCACACACUUCUUUUUCACCCAUUUUAAACACAUUAGUAUAAGAAUGUACCAGUCUCUUAAUUGAGCAUAAAUAUAAAAUAAAACUUUCAGCAACGGAUCUCUUGGCUCU
rnacentral:misc_RNA from 1 species